rnacentral:misc_RNA from 1 species
UUAAGUUCAGCGGGUAUCCCCGCCUGAUCCGAGGUCAACUUGCAAAGAGUGUGAGGCGAAUCGACUCGAGUGAGUCAUCACAGAUGGUCAAUUGCCGAUGGGGUUGGAAUCCUGCCACGACAGUGAUUCAAAUCCAAGCCAAGCUUGAGAGGUUAAUGACGCUCGAACAGGCGUACUCCUCGGAAUACCAAGGAGUGCAA